AGUAAAAGUCGUAACAAGGUCUCCGUUGGUGAACCAGCGGAGGGAUCAUUACCGAGUUUACAACUCCCACACCCUUAUGUGAACAUACCAAUCGUUGCUUCGGCGGACUCGCCCCGGCGUCCGGCAGGCCCUUGCGGCAGGCCGCGACCCGGAUCCAGGCGGACGCCGGAGACCAUUCCAAACUCUUUGUAUUCCAGCAAGUCUUCUGAAUACGCCGCAAGGCAACACAAAUGAAUCAAAACUUUCAACAACGGAUCUCUUGGUUCUGGCAUCGAUGAAGAACGCAGCGAAAUGCGAUAAGUAAUGUGAAUUGCAGAAUUCAGUGAAUCAUCGAAUCUUUGAACGCACAUUGCGCCCGCCAGCAUUCUGGCGGGCAUGCCUGUUCGAGCGUCAUUUCAACCCUCGCGCUCCCUUUGGGGAGCCCGGCGUUGGGGAUCGGCAUCUACCGCCGGCCCCGAAAUGAAGUGGCGGCCCGUCCGCGGCGACCUCUGCGUAGUAACUCACCUCGCACCGGAACCCCGACGUGGCCACGCCGUAAAACACCCAACUUUCUGAACGUUGACCUCGAAUCAGGUAGGAAUACCCGCUGAACUUAAGCAUAUCAAUAAGCGGAGGAAAAGAAACCAACAGGGAUUGCCCCAGUAACG
rnacentral:rRNA from 1 species